rnacentral:piRNA from 10 species
AGCUCAGUCGGUAGAGCAUGAGACU